UACAGAGGGUGCGAGCGUUAAUCGGAAUUACUGGGCGUAAAGCGCACGUAGUCGGCUUUGCAAGUCGGUUGUGAAAUCCCCGGGCUCAACCUGGGAACUGCAUCCGAGACUGCAUUGCUAGAGUAUGGGAGAGGAAAGCGGAAUUUCCGGUGUAGCAGUGAAAUGCGUAGAUAUCAGAAGGAACAUCAGUGGCGAAGGCGGCUUUCUGGACCAAUACUGACGAUCAGGUGCGAAAGCGUGGGGAGCAAACAGG
rnacentral:rRNA from 1 species